rnacentral:rRNA from 1 species
UACGUAGGGGCCGAGCGUUGUUCGGAAUUACUGGGCGUAAAGGGCGCGUAGGCGGCGCGAUAAGUUGGGCGUGAAAGGCCCGGGCUCAACCCGGGGACUGCGCUUGAUACUGUCGCGCUGUGAGUCCGGGAGAGGAUGGCGGAAUUCCCAGUGUAGAGGUGAAAUUCGUAGAUAUUGGGAAGAACACCGGUGGCGAAGGCGGCCAUCUGGACCGGCACUGACGCUGAGGCGCGAAAGCGUGGGGAGCAAACAGG